rnacentral:rRNA from 1 species
AUCAACUUUCGAUGGUAGGAUAGAGGCCUACCAUGGUGGUAACGGGUAACGGGGUGUUAGGGCACGACACCGGAGAGGGAGCCUGAGAAACGGCUACCACAUCCAAGGAUGGCAGCAGGCGCGCAAAUUACCCAAUCCCGACACGGGGAGGUAGUGACAAUAAAUAACAAUACGGGGUCCUUUCGGGUUUCGUAAUUGGAAUGAGUACAAUUUAAAUCUCUUAACGAGGAACAAUUGGAGGGCAAGUCUGGUGCCAGCAGCCGCGGUAAUUCCAGCUCCAAUAGCGUAUAUUAAAGUUGUUGCAGUUAAAAAGCUCGUAGUUGAAUUUCGGGAUUAGUACGUUGGUCGUGCCUUCGGUACGUACUGGUGUUACUGAUUCCUACCUUCUGACGAACCAUCAUGUCAUUAAUUUGGUGUGGCGGGGAAUCAGGACUGUUACUUUGAAAAAAUUAGAGUGUUUAAAGCAGGCUCGCGCUUGAAUACAUUAGCAUGGAAUAAUGAAAUAGGACGUUGACCCUAUUUGUUGGUUUCUAGGAUUGACGUAAUGAUUAAUAGGGAUAGUUGGGGGCAUUAGUAUUCAAUUGUCAGAGGUGAAAUUCUUGGAUUUAUUGGAGACUAACUACUGCGAAAGCAUUUGCCAAGGAUGUUUUCAUUAAUCAAGAACGAAAGUUAGGGGAUCGAAGACGAUCAGAUACCGUCGUAGUCUUAACCAUAAACUAUGCCGACUAGGGAUCGGAUGAUGUUAUUUUUAAUGACUCAUUCGGCGCCUUACGGGAAACCAAAGUGUUUGGGAAUCACUAG